CCGCCCCGAAAUCGCAUCCUAGAGUGACAGGAUCUGAACCACCUCCAAAGGCCGUUUGAUUUAUCACCAGCCCGGCUUCCCUGCCGCCUCUUGCUAUUUAUAAAGAGGUUUCCAUUCCUGAUGACCGCCUGCCGGCCUGCCAGCCUUCAGGGCGAGCGGUUCCCCACACUUGCCGCUAGGUGGCGCCCUCUCCCCACCAAACAGCACGGUCCCCGGUCCCGCCCCGCCAUGGGUGGUCUGGCCAGAUUGCGGUGUUAUUAGGAUGGAGGGUGGGCAGGUCCCACCACCUACCCCAUUAUUCAGACAUAGC
rnacentral:lncRNA from 1 species